UACGAAGGGUGCAAGCGUUACUCGGAAUUACUGGGCGUAAAGCGUGCGUACGUGGUGAGUUAAGUCUGUCGUGAAAGCCCCGGGCUCAACCUGGGAAUGGCGAUGGAUACUGGCUCGCUAGAGUGCGGUAGAGGAGAGUGGAAUUCCCGGUGUAGCAGUGAAAUGCGUAGAUAUCAAGAGGAACACCAGUGGCGAAGGCGAGUCCCUGGACAACACCUGACACUGAGGCACGAAAGCCGGGGGAGCAAACAGG
rnacentral:rRNA from 1 species